UUCUUAUCAAGAAAGGCAGAGGGUAAUGGCCCGAUGAAGCCUUGACAACCUGUUCAAAUAAAAGUUUGAAUAAGGUGCCAAUUCCAUCCCGAUAUGUUCGGGGCAGAUGAGUC
rnacentral:ncRNA from 2 species